rnacentral:lncRNA from 1 species
GGGGGGUGGAAACGCGACAGGUUCAUGAAUUAUCCAUCAAGGUCUUGCCUUCAUCCAGCAUUUCCCACCCACCCCCCAGCAAAAUUGCUGCCACUGCCCCUCGUGGUUAGAGCCUCGACUGCCAAACAUUCCGUCCCCAUCCACCAGCACCUUCCUCCUCCCAGCUUACCAGAACUUGAAGAUGAUGCCAGUGGCCACGAGAACAAUGAUGAUGGAGAUGGUAAUUGUGACAUAGAGCUGGGGGUCCACACCUGAUUGGGGUGGGAAGAAAGUUUUAGGGAGCCCCGAGGUGGUAGGAGCCAAGAGGGGCUGGGGGCUGGGCUGUGGGCUCUGUCGGCUGGAGUGGCAUUGCUGUGUGGAUCCACACUGCCGGCUCUGUCUGCCCCUCUGGAGCCUCACUCUUUAUUAUCACCAGCAUUCCCCUGAGUUUUCAGCUCUUUUCCUCCACUUUCCCAAAUGUAUUUCACCAAAUCUUAUGUGUAUAUGUGAUGAGGAUGAGGCCCCAUGAUCAGCGAGAACCUAUCACUAUGCCUGGAAACUAAGGGGUGGAGAUGUCCUAGUCUCUGCCAUGGCCCAACUCCCAAACCACAGGCCCUGUUCCUCCAUCAGCACUCCCUGAGCCAAGACAUCUCCCGGGUAGUGCCCUUCAUUCAUGGCAUUCUCUGCCCAGAAUACUCCCACUCUCUUUUCAAGGGCCAGCUCAAAUGUCAGUUCUCUGAAGGUGUCCUGAUCCCCAAGCAGGAGGAGACUCUCACUUCUCUUUUUUUGUAAAUCAUGCUGCACAUGCCUCUAUUAAAGCAUUU